rnacentral:rRNA from 1 species
AUUGAACGCUGGCGGCAGGCCUAACACAUGCAAGUCGAACGGUAACAGGAAGAAGCUUGCUUCUUUGCUGACGAGUGGCGGACGGGUGAGUAAUGUCUGGGAAACUGCCUGAUGGAGGGGGAUAACUACUGGAAACGGUAGCUAAUACCGCAUAACGUCGCAAGCCCAAAGAGGGGGACUUUCGGGCCUCUUGCCAUCGGAUUUGCCCAGAUGGGAUUAGCUUGUUGGUGGGGUAACGGCUCACCAAGGCGACGAUCCCUAGCUGGUCUGAGAGGAUGACCAGCCACACUGGAACUGAGACACGGUCCAGACUCCUACGGGAGGCAGCAGUGGGGAAUAUUGCACAAUGGGCGCAAGCCUGAUGCAGCCAUGCCGCGUGUAUGAAGAAGGCCUUCGGGUUGUAAAGUACUUUCAGCGGGGAGGAAGGGAGUAAAGUUAAUACCUUUGCUCAUUGACGUUACCCGCAGAAGAAGCACCGGCUAACUCCGUG